rnacentral:rRNA from 1 species
GAUGAACGCUGGCGGCGUGCCUAAUACAUGCAAGUCGAGCGAACAGACGAGGAGCUUGCUCCUCUGACGUUAGCGGCGGACGGGUGAGUAACACGUGGAUAACCUACCUAUAAGACUGGGAUAACUUCGGGAAACCGGAGCUAAUACCGGAUAAUAUAUUGAACCGCAUGGUUCAAUAGUGAAAGACGGUUUUGCUGUCACUUAUAGAUGGAUCCGCGCCGCAUUAGCUAGUUGGUAAGGUAACGGCUUACCAAGGCAACGAUGCGUAGCCGACCUGAGAGGGUGAUCGGCCACACUGGAACUGAGACACGGUCCAGACUCCUACGGGAGGCAGCAGUAGGGAAUCUUCCGCAAUGGGCGAAAGCCUGACGGAGCAACGCCGCGUGAAUGAUGAAGGUCCUCGGAUCGUAAAACUCUGUUAUUAGGGAAGAACAAAUGUGUAAGUAACUAUGCACGUCUUGACGGUACCUAAUCAGAAAGCCACGGCUAACUACGUG